GCAAAAUGUCUUAAAUAAUUUAUAUGAUAAUCUAUGCCUUAAAAUAAAAGCUGUCCCCUGUUUGUGUUGAACGGGACAGCGCAACAAUGUGAAAACAAAUAUAUUGAAGGUAAUUUGGGAAUAAAGCACUUUUCGGAAACUUCUUGAUCAGAUUCCACAAUGCAAAAGCUGGAAUUGAUUUGAACUCUUGGUUUGCCACAUGCAUUGAUUAUUAAGUUCGACCCCCUGACUCAGUUACAAGGAUGAACCAAUACAAGGCAAAACCCUAACCCCUUCACGUGCUCCCUUGCGUGACCUCUCUCCCCUUCCCUACCAUCGUUCCUUUUGAUGCUCAAAUUGUAAUACUGGAUCAGAUUUCCAGAAGCUAAGGUACCAUUGGAGCUUGCAUUCUCUUGCAAGUCAACUGGAACUUCAAUUAUGUUAGGAAGCUAAUGCAUUAGUAGCUUUUCAUUAUUAACCAGUUUGGACACUUUUGGAGUAUAUGCCUUGUUUUUAAGCAAUUUGAGCUAGGAUGGUUUGUUUUGAUUUGGAGAAUCUGAGUCUUCAUUUAACUACAACCAUCAAUGAUAGUGAAAAAGAGCAGGGGAUGUGCUUCACCACUCAUUUUGGUUACAUUAGUUCUUGGGUUUUGCUGUGCUAAAUAUAAUCUGGUAACACUUGUAAUGCACAAUAGAUCUAUUUCAAAAUGGAUAGUAGAUGACUCCAAUGGUGGGAUUUUUUUGAUCUUGUCAUUGAGAUGCCUGAAAAUAUGAGGAAACCAAAGAAUGCCAAGCUGCCUUUCCAUGUUGCCUUAACAGUUACUGAUGCUCCAUAAAGCAAAUGGCAGUGUUGCAUUAUGUACUAUUGGUAUAAGAAGCAGAAUGACUUGCCUGUGUCUGAGAUGGGAGGUUUAACACGUAUUUACACUCUGGAAGUCCUGACAACUUGAUGGAUGAGAUUCCUACCAUUAUAGUAGAUCCUUUUCCAGCAGGGCUGGAUCAAGUGGAGCAGCAUAUGUUCAGCUACCAUUAACCAAGAAGCCAAGGCAAGACAAGUGAAAAAAAGGAGAGUAAGAAAAUAAGGAGAAAGGGGUAGAGAGAGAAUGAAAUCUUGCAUGUCUCCUUUAGCCCAAACCCAAACCCAAUCCUUUUUCCUAUCUUUCUUUUGCUUUUCGGUUAUUUUCUCUUUUAUUAUUAAGUUUUUUAUAUCUAAACAAAAGUUGUGUUUAUUUUUGAAGAAAUUAAUUGAUGUUCUGUUUAAAUUUUGCUUUUUUAGACAUUUUAAUUGAAGUUAGAAACAUAUUGCCUUCUGGAGGAUAAGUUGGAGUUGGUUGGAAACUGACAAUGUAAGUAAGCUGAAUGCAGCUUGCAUCUCCGCUGGCUCAAAUUCAUGUUUCAACUGGUUUGUUAAUUUGUACGGUUUUGUUAUGACCACAAUCUCGUGUGAUCUCAGUUUCACCACCUGGGAUUGUAAUAUAGUCCUUGCUUUCUGAAAUGAUUAGUGGUUUGUUAAACUACAAUGAAUUUUGAAUAUGUUUUUUAAAUUUUUAGAUCCUUAUAGUAUCUCAUCUAUAUUAUUUUUUUGUUUUAUUAGUAUUAAUUGAUGCUUAAAUAAUUAAAUUACAUUGUUUUCUUAUUUGAUUGGAUGGGACUCUCAAUUCAUCAAAAUUGGUUUUUUGCAAUGUGAUUUGUCCUGGGCAAUGUGUGAAUAUGUGGAGUUCACUCAUCUUUUUCUGAUGCUAAAUUGUACAGGUACAAUGGGGACUAACGAUAUCUAUUGCUUUGUUUUGACUGAGAUUCAUGAUUUCAUUACGGUUUGUGAACUGUUUAUUCUUUUAUGCUCUUUGUCCUGUUAAAGGUGGAAAUACAAUAAUUGCUUUUAUCGAAGAUCCAGAUGAUUGUAAGUUUGAACUUUUAGAGAGGGCACCUACUCCUGAGCCCCUUUGUCAAGUAAUGCUUCAAGUUGGUGAUCUUGAUUGAUCUAUUAAUUUCUACAAGAAGAUUUUUAGGCUUUUGGCGUGGAGCUACUUCGAAAGAAAGAUAAGAGUAUAAGGUAAAGAUACAUUCUUUACCGACCAUCAAAAUAUUGAAUAAUUGAUCAUAUCUGGUCAUUUUAUAGUUUCCCAUUAAUAUUUCUGCAUACUUUUCGGCAUACAAUAACCAUGAUGGGCUAUGGUCUGAAGAUAAAAAUGCCAUGCUGGAACUGACAGUGACAUACAACUAUGGGGUCACAGAAUAUGAAGAAGGAAAUGGUUAUGCACAAGAAGCUUCGGAUGUUGUCCAAAGACCAAGACAGUGUCUUCUCAAUGCUUGCAACAGUUUCGUGACUGGGAAAUAUCUCAUUCACCAUCAUUAGCAGUAGUUCUGGAGGAGACACUAGGAUUAGGAAAAAAAAAUGUGAGUUUUCCUUUUAGUUCUAAUAAUACAAAUUUAUGUAUUUUUAUAAUUAUAUUAUAU